UGUGUUUCCUGGGCACUACCCCCAGCUCGCUGAAUCCAGGAGCAGCCCCGGGAUCAUUGUGACCUCACAGUUCAGACAGCAUCGGUCCCCUGUGGGGGCCACCUUUCCAGCCCCUCCUCCCAGCAGAGGAUCCCAGUGCCCUCCUGGCCUGAAGGCCCUGCAGGCCUGGCCUUCCCAACUUCCUCUCUGCCCUUGUCCCCCGUCGUCCCUCUAGUUGGCCUGGCCCUCCCAACUUCCUCUCUGCCCUUGUCCCCCGUCGUCCCCCUAGUUGGCCUGGCCCUCCCAACCUCCUCUCUGCCCUUGUCCCCCGUCGUCCCCCUAGCUGGAGGGUGCCCCAGCCUGGCUGACCUCAGUUCUUGUCCCCAGCACACACAACUCUUCCCAGCCUCAAGGCCUUCACCUGGCUGUGCCGCUGCCUGCAAUGUUCCUCCCCAGUCUUGUCAGGGCUGGCUCCUGGGGAGAAGAUCUCUGCUCAGAUGUCACUUCCCCGGAAGGGCCUUCCACGGCCACCCACGUCGUGUCUCCCCACGCCUGCCCCCACACUCGCUAGCCCGCCGUCCCCUCUUCCUGCUUCCGUCCUCCACAGCAGUCAUCACCAUCUGAUAUUCCUGUGUAUGCAUCGGUUUGCCUUUCUGGCUCCUGGUUUUGCUCUGCCUCCCCGCUGGAAGAAGGCAGAGGUUGCAGUGAGCCAAGAUCAUGCCAAUGCGCUCCAGCCUGGGCGACAGAGUGAAACUCCAAGUGAAUAAAUGAAUUGUGAGUGCAUGGUGAGUGGAAAAGCCAGGGGAAGGGGCCUGAGCAUCUCCUUCAGGGGUACCUGCCAAGGCGGAGUCCUGGAACCCCUGCCCAGAACUGCUCGUGGAGGGCAUCUGCGUUAGUCCCCUGCUCCCCAGCGCUGCCAGCCCCUGCCUCAGAUCUCUUACCCAACCGCAUCGCUUCCACUUGGCAAGGUAGAUGGCCCAUGUACUGGGAGUACUACAUGGUAGGAUCCCUGGGAGGGUGCCCCUGGGUGUCCUCCUGGAUCUCUUUCUGGUGUGAAAUAGGGCGCUCUCUUGGCUUCUUCAGUUGAACACCUGUGUGACCAGCUCUGUCAUCAGAUAUGUUUUGUAAUUAAAGGCUACUCUGUCCUAA
rnacentral:lncRNA from 1 species